rnacentral:tRNA from 1 species
GCGUUGGUGGUUCAGUGGUAGAAUACUCGGCUGUCACGCGGGUGACCCAGGUUCGAUUCCCGGCUGACGCA